UGUUCUACAGAGUGACAGAAAAUCGACAGAAGAGGAGAGAAUGAAAAUUGAAGAAUCUGCUCUGCUGACCGAUUCUCACAGGGUUUGCGACUGAGGCAGGUUGACAUGAUGGCGGAUGGUAUAGCAGGGAGCUCUACCACCUUAUCAAAGAUGGCAAAGAAAAUAAGAGAAGUUUGCAUCACAGCAAUGGAAAAGCGAAGGAGACAAAGGGCCACACAAGAGAAAGGCAUUAAUAUGGAGUUGGUCAGCCUUUGCAGCCAUAACAGCUUCCACUCUUCUGGGAAGCUUCCUGCAAGACUUUGGAGUGUUUCGGUGGGAAUUUUUGCCCAUUCAUCCAGAAGAGCAUUUGUGAGGUCAGACACUGAUGUUGUUCUUCCACACCAAACUCA